GGGGAAUUUUCCGCAAUGGGCGAAAGCCUGACGGAGCAAUACCGCGUGAGGGAGGAAUGCCUUUGGGUUGUAAACCUCUUUUCUCAGGGAAGAAGAUCUGACGGUACCUGAGGAAUAAGUAUCGGCUAACUCCGUGCCAGCAGCCGCGGUAAUACGGAGGAUGCAAGCGUUAUCCGGAAUCAUUGGGCGUAAAGCGUCCGCAGGUGGUUUCCAAAGUCUGCUGUUAAAGACUGGAGCUCAACUCCGGAACGGCGGUGGAAACUUGGAAACUAGAGUUCGGUAGGGGUAGCAGGAAUUCCCAGUGUAGCGGUGAAAUGCGUAGAUAUUGGGAAGAACAUCGGUGGCGAAGGCGUGCUACUGGACCGUAACUGACACUCAGGGACGAAAGCUAGGGGAGCGAGAGGGAUUAGAUACCCCUGUAGUCCUAGCUGUAAACGAUGGAAACUAGGUGUGGCUUG
rnacentral:rRNA from 1 species